rnacentral:rRNA from 1 species
UACAGGGGGGCAAGCGUUGUUCGGAAUUACUGGGCGUAAAGGGCUCGUAGGCGGCCAACUAAGUCACACGUGAAAUCCCCAGGCUUAACCUGGGAACUGCGUGUGAUACUGGAUGGCUUGAAUCCGGGAGAGGGAUGCGGAAUUCCAGGUGUAGCGGUGAAAUGCGUAGAUAUCUGGAGGAACACCGGUGGCGAAGGCGGCAUCCUGGACCGAUACUGACGCUGAGGAGCGAAAGCCAGGGAGCAAACGGG